GAUGAAGAACGUAGCGAAAUGCGAUAAGUAUGUGAAUUGCAGAAUUCAGUGAAUCAUCGAAUCUUUGAACGCACCUUGCACCCUUUGGCAUUCUGAAGGGUAUGCUCGUUUGAGUGUCAUUGUACUCUCACACUCCCGAUCUUUGCAUUGGGAGCAGUGGACUUGGGUUUGCUGCUUCACCGUCGCUUACCUCAAAUAGGUUAGUGCAACUCUUGGUUGGACAUAGUACGGCGUGAUAAGUGUUCUUCGCCGGUGCCUCGCAAAGAGGGUGGCCGAUCGGGAUGUUGUGCUCCAAACCGUCUUCGGACAAUCUCUGACGACUUGACCUCAAAUCGAGUAAGACUACCCGCUGAACUUAAGCAUAUCAAUAAGCGGAGGA
rnacentral:misc_RNA from 1 species